rnacentral:rRNA from 1 species
CCUUGUACACACCGCCCGUCACACCAUGGGAGUUGAUUGCUCCAGAAGUGACUUGGAUAACCGUAAGGAGUCCGGUCCCUAAGGAGUGGUUAAUGACUGGGGUG